UACGUAGGUGGCAAGCGUUGUCCGGAUUUACUGGGCGUAAAGAGCGCGCAGGCGGUCGUUCAAGUCGAGUGUGAAAGCCCCCGGCUCAACUGGGGAGGGUCACUCGAUACUGAUCGACUCGAAGGCAGAAGAGGGAAGCGGAAUUCCCGGUGUAGUGGUGAAAUGCGUAGAUAUCAGGAGGAACACCAACGGCGAAGGCAGCUUUCUGGACGAUAACUGACUCUGAGGCACGAAGGCCAGGGGAGCGAACGGG
rnacentral:rRNA from 1 species